rnacentral:snRNA from 1 species
UUCAUAAUUCAGUGGCAGUAUCGUAGCCAAUGAGGUUUAUCCGAGGCGCGAUUAUUGCUAAUUGAAAACUUUUCCCAUAAUUCCAAAACUCUGAAGCAACCAAGAUGUC